GACGAACGCUGGCGGCGUGCUUAACACAUGCAAGUCGAACGGAAAGGCCCUGCUUUUGUGGGGUGCUCGAGUGGCGAACGGGUGAGUAACACGUGAGUAACCUGCCCUUGACUUUGGGAUAACUUCAGGAAACUGGGGCUAAUACCGGAUAGGAGCUCCUGCUGCAUGGUGGGGGUUGGAAAGUUUCGGCGGUUGGGGAUGGACUCGCGGCUUAUCAGCUUGUUGGUGGGGUAGUGGCUUACCAAGGCUUUGACGGGUAGCCGGCCUGAGAGGGUGACCGGCCGCAUUGGGACUGAGAUACGGCCCAGACUCCUACGGGAGGCAGCAGGGGGGAAUAUUGAACAAUGGGCGGAAGCCUGAUGCAGCAACGCCGCGUGCGGGAUGACGGCCUUCGGGUUGUAAACCGCUUUCGCCUGUGACGAAGCGUGAGUGACGGUAAUGGGUAAAGAAGCACCGGCGAACUACGUG
rnacentral:rRNA from 1 species